AGUUGGGUGGUGACUACUGCAAGGAUCUGGAGGAGUCAGUGCUUAGAGGAGUUGCCUAUGAGAAACACUGAGGAGGUGGAUGAUAAAACUGAUUUAUCUAAAAUCAAGGGUCUUCUGCCUCUUUAAUCAGUGAGAAGGAGGAGCCAAUCCCAAAUGCAAAGGAGAUUCUGAGAGUAUUGAAACCAAACCACUAAACUUUAGACCAUCACUGAAAGUUAGAAGAAGGAAUUGAGAAUUGAGAUCAAGUGCAAUUGUGUCUCCUGAGGCCUGACUGAAGAAAGUUGGCUCCCAGAGUACACAGUGUAUGAUCUCCUGCACACAUGCAGUCUUGGGAAAAGACACAUCAAACAACACCUACUGCAGCUGCAGGGGCAAAUUUGCAUCAUUCUCACCCACAUUGGAACAUCAGAAUGUUGCUUUAGGGGACCAUUACUGACCCACACUGACUCUGGUACUGACCAGUGCAACAGGGAUCCUCUGCAGGAUCAGGGGAUUGUGGAAUCACAAACCAGUUGUGGAAUAAGGUAGCAAAAAGCUUUUUGUUGGUAGAUACUACUGUAUUCCCUCUGGGACAUCUUUCUCCGUAAUUGAAAUACAUGACCUUGUAUAAAGACUUUUACUUUAAUUCCUUUUUAAAAUUACUUUGGCCCUGACACACAGACCUGCUUUUUAAAAGAAUGCACAGUAUUCUAAAAUUGUAAUGGAGAAAUUUCUAAUCUUAUCAAGGAUUAAAGAACUAAGCUGUCUAACCAGG